AUUGAACGCUGGCGGCAGGCCUAACACAUGCAAGUCGAACGAGUGGCGGACGGGUGUGAAAUGUCUGGGAAACUCCCAGAUGGAGGGGGAUAACUACUGGACACGGUAGCUAAUACCGCAUACCAUCGGAUGUGCAGAGAUGGGUUUAGCUAGUAGGUGGGGAAAAGUCUCACCUAGGCGACGAUCUCUAGCUGGUCUGCGAGGAUGACCAGCCAGACUGGAACUAAGACACUGUCCAGACUCCUACGGGAGGCAGCAGUGGAGAAUAGUGCACAAUGGGCGCAAGCCUGAUGCAGCCAUGCCGCGUGUAUGAAGAAGGCCUUCGGGUUGUAAAGUACUUUCAGCGGGGAGGCGUUACCCGCAGAAGAAGCACCGGCUAACUCCGUGCCAGCAGCCGCGGUAAUAC
rnacentral:rRNA from 1 species